rnacentral:lncRNA from 1 species
AGACUUCGAAUUUUUGGGAAACCUUAGUGGUGACCCUUAUAUUCUUCACACAAAUGUGUACAGCCAAGGCAAGGGAAACAGAGAGCAGCAAUUCUACCUCUGGUUCGACCCAACUGCAGAUUUUCACACCUAUUCCAUCCUUUGGAAUCCACGGCGCAUCAUGUAAGUUUACAGAACAAGAAUCAGAACAAUUCCUGCCAUUCGAUUGAGCAAAUUCGUGUGCAACCUUUUCUAACACGACAACUUUUGGGUUUUUUUUUUCCCUCCAGAUUUUCCGUGGAUGGCACACCUAUCAGGGAAUACAAGAAUCCUGAGUCUCUUGGUGUUCCAUACCCAAAGAGCCAACCGAUGAGGAUAUAUUCAAGCUUGUGGAAUGCAGAUGACUGGGCAACAAGAGGUGGACUUGUUAAAGCGGACUGGUCUAAAGCUCCAUUCACUGCCUCCUACAGAAACUUCAAUGAACAUGCUUGUAUUUGGUCGUCUGGAAAAUCUUCAUGCAAUUCAAACACUCCUUCAAACAAUGCAUGGCUGAAUCAAGAGUUGGAUGCAACUAGCCAAGAAAGGCUCAAGUGGGUGCAGAAGAAUUAUAUGAUUUACAACUAUUGCACUGAUUUAAAGCGCUUUCCUCAAGGCUUCCCCCCAGAAUGUGCUAUCAAUAAGUCCUCAUAGGAAAAGAAAUUUAGUACUAGUGCUCUUAUCAGUUUAAAGUUUUGUAAUUCUUUAAUUCUUUAUUUCCUAUUGGUUACCUGAACCAUUCAGAGUAAAGUACCACUUUGUUUCUGUAGCUAAUUCUUUUGGUAAUGAAAAGAAAUUUCUAAAUUUUUGGAGUAAGAAGUAAGAACUCUGUUGCAUGUUGAGAUUUAUUUUUGACUAAGAAUAAGUCAGUCAAAGAAGUGGAACAGCUCAUACAGAGCCAUUUUAUGUAAUAUCCAACCAUGCAUUCUCGAAAAGCCACGGGCAAUUAAAAACUGCAGAAUCUUUGUUAAAUUAUAUAUCGAAUGGAGCAGCAGCAUUCGUUCUUUCUCAGUGCUAUAAUAAUUUUCCUGCCAUUUAAUAGUGUUAUAAGUUGCUGUCUUUAUAAAGUGGUAGUAUUAAUCGGUUCGGACUUGGGACUCUGCAUCAGAGUUGAUGCACACUAAAUAGCAUAAACACUGACAAAGAGGCAUGGACUUAGUAAAACAACUGUAUGAGGGAAACCAUCUAUAAAAUAGUUUUUGUUGGUUACUUACUUUUAAAAAUGUAAUAUUAUAUCCCUUAUAAGUUCACAUUAUUCAGAUUUGACCCCAAACUAGGUUUUUGACUGGUUUUUUGUCAAAAUUCAUCAUGUGCCUUGCACGUGAUUAUUUUGUAAGCACAAAAUUGUUAAAUUGCAUUUCACAUAAUGUGAUCUGUAAUCUCUUACAUUUCACAAAAUGAAUUUUUUCGUCCCUUACAUUUUACAAAAUAAAUUUUUUUGCUCUUCACAUUUUGCAAAAUGAAAAUUUUCAUUCCUCAUUGAUCAUAUGUAUGAAUAGUUUUUUCUUUUUUUAAAAACUCAUAUAUAUAUCUAUUUGAUUUCACCUGAACAAACUAAUUCUAAUUAUAGGUGAAAUUAAAUAAAGAUAUAUUAUGUGCUAUUAUGUACUAUUCAGGUGAAAUCAAAUAGAUAUAUACAUGCUAAUACAUUUAUAGUACGUGAUCUAGGUUUCUGACUAAAUGCUAGUACUGUACAUGCUAUUUAUACAUUAGUUAAAUUUGGUUUCUAUCUAAAUUUUUGAUUAAUUUUUUUUUGUUGAAAUUCACCACGUGCUUCGCACGUGGUCAUUAUUUAGGAGCAAAAUUGUCAAAUCGCAUUUCACAUAAUCUGAUUCAUAACUUCUCACAUUUCACAAAAUAAAUUUUUCGUUCCAUACAUUUCACAAAUAAAUUUUUUCAUCUCUCAUAUUCUGCAAAAUAAAAAAUUUCAUCCCUCAUUGAUCAUAUGUACAAGUAGUUUUUUCUUAUUUUUAAAAACUCAUAUAUAUGUCUAAUUGAUUUCAACUGAACAAUAUAAAUAUUAUGUAAUAUAUCUCUAUUUGAUUUCACUUGAAUAAGCCAAUUGUAGUUAUAGCUGAAAUCAAAUAAAGAUAUACUAUAUGUUAUUUAUACUUUUCAGGUGAAAUCAAAUAGAUAUAUAUAUAUAUAUAUAUAUGAAUUUUUUUUUAAAAAAAAGCCAUUAGUAUAUAUGAUCAAUGAGUUAUGAAAAAAUUCAUUUUAUGAAAUGUGAGGAAUGAAAAAAUUCAUUUUGUGAAAUGUAAGAAACAAAAAAUAUGAAAGACUAUGGAUCGGAUUAUGUAAAAUAUGAUUGACAGUUUUGUCUUUAAAAAAUGAUCACGUGCAAGGCACGUGGUGAAAUCUGAUUAAAAACUAGUCAAAAACUUAGGUAGGAAUAGUUGACCACCAAAAGAGUUUUAAAACUCUAAUUGGAUCUAGAUCAAGGGAUCAAAUCCCCUUACUUAUAUUUUAAAAAUCUAGACUUUCUUGAAAAUGCCGUCAGCGGAUACGUAGGCAUUUAUUGAGAGUCGGUGGUGGUUCAAUCCCUUUCGAAUUCUCCUUGGGUCUUUUUAGGUCCACCUCGCCUUAUUAUAGAGUAAGUGUAGGUUUAUCAUGUUUUAAAAAAAUUUAGGUAGGGACCAAAUUUGAAUAACAUGAAUUUGUAAAACACGUAAAAUUACACUUUUAAAUGUGAUGAUGAAAAAAGUCAUUUUGUAAAAUGUGAUGGAUGUUUUGAACGAUUUUCCUUUUAUUUUAGAGGACAACUCAAUAAUUUUUCAGCAAUAGGUUUUAAAUAUUAAUAAUGGAAUUAUCAUAUAUGGUAAUUAACCAGUAAGAAUGCUUGAGAUCUAAAAUGAUUGAGAAUGUUAAUAACUUUAAUCUAACUAUCUUACAACAUAGACUACAUCAUUUCAUUAUGACAUCAAAAUAGGCGAUUACCUCUUGGGCCUUUUGCUUAAAAAAAAAAAAAAAAGAAAGAAAGAAAAAGCCCUCCUAGACUUUUUAUUACUAGAAAAGUGUUCAUUUUGUACUUCAUUUUUCAAAUGGGCCUGGGCUUUCAAACGGGGUGAAGGGCAGCUCUGUUUGGAUUCAAGAGUUUUUUAAAAAUUAUUAAAAUUUUUAAAAAAUAUUCUAAAAAGUAGUCUAAUUUUUUUUUCAAUAUCUAAAAAAUAUCCCAAAAUAUAUUCUAAAAAUUCUUUUACUCUUAAAUAUCCCAAAAUAUUUUCUAAAAUAUACUAUAAAAACUCUGCUACAAUAAAGUUUUUCAAAAAUACCCCCAAAAACAGCUCAUCCAAACGGGAAUUUCUAGCCCUCAAGUGUUGCGCAUUGAAAUGAAAAUGAAAAUAAUCUAUUUCCAAGCUAGAUACGUACAACAGCACACCCAACUGGAAAGCGAAUUUAUGGAUGAACUAAUUGGAAAGUGAUUGAGAGUGUAACUCAAAAUCCAUUGAGAUCCACUAGUUGUCUAAGCCCUCGCCUCGCCUAUGGUAUUGUUUUAAGCACCUGAUAUGUUUAUUUAAUUCUAUAUGUAAAUUUUAUGUGUUUACCUAGCAAAUCUGGAAUUCUGGAGUUGACUGAUGAUUGAAUUAAAUACGUGCUUGAAGAAGUAUAAGAACAACCUUAAUUACCAAUUUAACCAAUCUGAUAUCUUCAACCUUUGGCAAUCCUUUUGUAUCGUCAUGGUUAUCAUUUCAAUACUAUCCAACAAACCUUAGUGGUUUAACAAUCCCUUCUUGAAUUUUCAUCCUUUCAGUGUCAGGGUCUAAUAUUGGUCCAUCUCAUUUGACGCUGGAAAAGGUGAACUGUGUGCCAAGAGGAUAAACAAAAUAAUUGGAGUGGGGUUGCAGGGAUCCAAGAUAACCCCAAAAAAAGAAAAACCCACGAGUUCACCUUGAUUUGUUUCUUUGUACUUUGUGUUUAUUCAUAUGACUAGUAAGUAGUUUGUGAACCAGUAGACUAAUCCCUAUCAGAUCACCAAGAAGGCAAGAACCAGAACCGCGUGUUAUUAAUAUACAGCAAGGUCCAGGUUUGGGCUGUUGUUAGCUAGCUGGACAUUUUCACCAUUCUCUUAUGUCAAUUGUCACAAAUCACAACCACUUGCUUCUAUUAGCCAUCUGGGUACAGCUAGAAAAGUUACCAUGGGAUCAAGUGAUCACCCACUCGUUCAACAACUUUUACCCCAACAACUUGCCUCUGCUGAACCUUCCUCAGCUCUUCCUGAAUCCUAAUGCCUCCCUAUAAAUACUCUAAUUGGUAGCAGUCUUCAAAUCAUCCCACAACACAAAAUUACCUGUCUCAGUCACUAAAGAGGGAAAAAAACCCUUUCUUCAAAAUUUUCAAAAUGGCUUAUUCUUCUUGUUCAUCUAGUCUUGUAAGAAUAUUUCUUACAUCCUUCAUAGGAAGCACUUUUGUAGUACUUGCAUCCGCUCGCAACUUCUAUCAAGAAGUCGACAUCACAUGGGGUGGCGAUGGCCGGGCAAAGAUACUCAACAAUGGUGGACUUCUCACUCUCUCGCUUGAUAAAACAUCUGGCUCUGGUUUCCAAUCUAAAAAAGAGUACCUAUUUGGCAAAAUCGACAUGCAACUCAAAACUUGUCGCUGGAAAUUCUGCUGGCACUGUCACAGCCUAUUACGUAAGUAGCUAUCUAGUACAUUUUUUCUGCCAUGCAUAUGGUCCUCAUAAUAUAUACUUCUUCAGGCACUCUAUUAGAUUAAAAUGCUAAUAAUUUAAGUGGUAUUUUGCAGUUGUCAUCUCAAGGCCCGACUCAUGAUGAAAUAGACUUCGAGUUCUUGGGAAACCUUAGUGGUGACCCUUAUAUUCUUCACACAAAUGUAUACAGCCAAGGCAAGGGAAACAGAGAGCAGCAAUUCUACCUCUGGUUCGACCCAACUGCAGAUUUUCACACCUAUUCCGUCCUUUGGAAUCCACGACGCAUCAUGUAAGUUUACAGAACAAGAAUCAGAACAAUUCCUGCCAUUCGAUUGAGCAAAUUCGUGUGCAACCUUUUCUAACACGACAACUUUUGGGUUUUUUUUUUCCCUCCAGAUUUUCCGUGGAUGGCACACCUAUCAGGGAAUACAAGAAUCCUGAGUCUCUUGGUGUUCCAUACCCAAAGAGCCAACCGAUGAGGAUAUAUUCAAGCUUGUGGAAUGC